CAAGAGUGGUGGACUGGGAGAAAAUGAUAUAGACACAAGGAAAACACAAACAGCCAAAAAUAAAACUUGUUCGUGGCUGUCAGGUUCAGUGUGCUUUCUAAAUUAAAAUUAAAGCCUCAGUCUUUUUUCGGGAAAUUUGUUCAAAUAUUUCGUUUCUUGCGCCAAAUUUUCUUCACCGUUUUUAGUGCAGCCCUGCCAUGAUAAAACGUUUCGCAGCACUACUGCCAGAAGUUUUUACAGAAAUUAAAGAAAAUUUAAAUUAAAUCAAAAUCCGUUUCUGGAUACCUUAGAAUCACACUCCGCAGAGAGUGCAAAGGUAUUCUUUUACUUUUACUAUGCAUACAUAUUAAUUUGUACAGUAAACGACGUUAGACAUGAAUUGCACACUGCACAGGUAACAUUUAAAUUCAGAAAAUACACUAACUUAAGCCUAUAGACGGUCAUCGGACGGGAUGCAUGUUCAUCGUUGCAGUUUGUGUGUCCACUAGGCAGUCACUGCAGGCCGCGUCUUAAGGUAGAC